GAUAUAUGAUGACAAACUGUUUCGGUCCCAAAUGAUGGUUGCUGAUUACUGUUUAUGAGAUCAACUGAUGUC